UCUCUUCGGUCCCACCCAAUCAAGAAGCCUGAUUUCUCUUGGCGAGAAAAGGCUAUGUCUCCAACUCUGGUCCUGAGCGGGGCGGGAUCCGGGCGGGACCUGGACGCGGGAUGCUGUGCAGGGUGGACUGCCCGGCCGCGCCCCGCUCCAAGUUCUCGCCCAGCCCCUUGCGCCUCCCACUAGCGGAGUGGAAGAAAAACGGACCCAGAUUCUAGAGGUCUCUCGACCUUACUUUCCUCUUUCUUAAAAUGGGAUCAAUAAAACUCUUCUUCGGGGCCUGCCAGGCUGCCCAGCACCUCACCUUGUCAGAGCCAAACUUGCGCAGGAAACGGUAGGGCCAGCUAUAGAGGAUCUGGGGAUUGGAAGUUUCUUUCAGUUGGAUGUCAUCUUGGCCUAGCACCAGGAGGUCUUACUACGUAUCCCUGGCUGGUCUGGAACUCACAGAGAUCCACCUGCUCCUGCUUCCUGAGUGCUGGGAUUAAAGACAUGUGACAUCAUGCCUGGCUCAGAACUUUUUUUUUAAUCAUCACAAAUGAAAGUCCUGGAUCAUCAGCAGUUGCUCCCCAUUUCCUUCCCACUGGCAACCUUAAACCUGCUUUCUGUCUGUAUAGAUUUGUGUGUUCUGAAUGAAGUCAUACAAUAUA